rnacentral:rRNA from 1 species
UACGUAGGGUGCAAGCGUUGUCCGGAAUUAUUGGGCGUAAAGAGCUCGUAGGCGGUUUGUCGCGUCUGCUGUGAAAACUGGAGGCUCAACCCCGAGCCUGCAGUCGAUACGGGCAGACUAGAGUGCGGUAGGGGAGACUGGAAUUCCUGGUGUAGCGGUGAAAUGCGCAGAUAUCAGGAGGAACACCGGUGGCGAAGGCGGGUCUCUGGGCCGUAACUGACGCUGGAGGAGCGAAAGCGUGGGGAGCGAACAGG